UUUAUGUCUUCCUGAUUCAGGCGAAAGGCUGAGAGGUUAGUACCAAAAUUGAAGAUCAAAAAUCUCUUCUCCACCGUUAAAGCUCCAAAAUUGAGGAUACAAUGAAUAAUAAUCUUCUCACAAUAAUAUAUUUUGAUUAUGGGGGAUCUUAUAUAAGAAAAGGAGCUGAUACACAAUGGAUUUCAAAAGAAGAUGUUCAUCACACUCUUUUGGUGAAAACAUCUAUUGAGGAAGUCAUAUAUUCUGAAUUGGUGAACCAAAUAUGUAGAAAAAUGAUGGUUGAUAAAGCUACCGUUGUGUUGAAAUUGAGCUUUGUUGCUGAAACAGUUAAACCAAAGAAACCAACAUAUAUUUCCCAUGAUGAUGAUGUAAUGUGUUUUUUGGAAAUGAAUAAAAACCAUUUCCAUGUU